GACGAACCGUGCGAACGUUGUUCGGAAUCACUGGGCUUAAAGGGCGCGUAGGCGGGCCUCCAAGUCCGGGGUGAAAUCCUCCCGCCCAACGGGAGAAGAGCCUCGGAGACUGGGGGCCUCGAGGGAGGUAGGGGCGGUGCGGAACUAUGGGUGGAGCGGUGAAAUGCAUUGAUAUCCAUAGGAACUCCGGUGGCGAAGGCGGCACGCUGGACCUCUUCUGACGCUGAGGCGCGAAAGCCAGGGGAGCAAACGGG
rnacentral:rRNA from 1 species